ensembl:lncRNA
CUUGAGACUGAUAACUUUCGAGACGGGUUACCGUAAGUCGUCGGUCAGACCAUUACCUCGAGCACCUGGCUCUCCACCAGCUCUUGGUGCAACCUCAAUCUGCUGUGUUUUAACACAGUACACAACAUCAGUGCUCUUUCUGGCAGGGGCUACGCAGCAGGUUCUGGAAGCUUACUUGUGGUGGUUGUGAAGAGAACCGGAUGAUAUUCGAGCUGGCAGCCUUUGAAGCACGCUGGGCUGGGGAGCAAAUGAAAGCUUGGUCCCUUUGUCUGGCUGGAGAAGUCCCUGCUCUUUGGUUCUCAAGGGAACUGCCAGAACCUGCGUGCCUGAGAAGCAGAGCAAUUUCAACACCUUCCCCAGGAAAGAAUUUCAGAUCAAGGCAGGCGGAAACUCCGACGUCUGCGUCUGUCGAGACGGUCCUAUGAUGACGUGUGUCACUUGACAAAUUCCAGCGUGUUCGGAAUCCUGUCCCCAGGGCAGACACAACAACAACAGGAAGAGAGGCCAUUUUCACAGGUGUCAGGAAAGACAGGAAAUAAACAAGCUGGAUGCUGGAAAACAAGCGAGUCCACACAGCUCAGAGAGGUGAGGGCCAAAACAGCUAUUUUUAAUACUGAGGGGUAUUUUCAGAGGAGUCUCAAUGAAGGUAUGCCUGUUCUGGGACCAAACGGGUUACUGGAAGGGACACUGGGCUGGAAAAAGCUUAGACGCCCACCUCCCCAAUUUCCCACCAACCCAAACACCCACACACGUAAACUCUCUCUCACACACAUACACAUACACACACACACACAUGCACACCAACACCACCACCACCCAGACAUCCAAAU